rnacentral:lncRNA from 1 species
GGAAGAGAGCUCAGGGCUGGAGGUCAGGAGACCAUAUUCUAGUUCUGGCUUUGGCUCUGACUGGCUGUGCAACUGUGGGUGUCAAACCACUGUCCAUUCUGACCUCAGCUGUCACGUCUCCAAAAUGGAGCAACUGAGCCCAGCGCUGUCUCCCCUCAGCUCUCCCCUCAGUCCUGGUGACUGCAUGGCACAGCCUGAACUCCCAAGUGUGUUUUGGGGUUCUGAGGAUGUCCAGAAUUAAGCUCACGGUCUAACCAUGGACUAGAUAUGCUUCUAGAGAAUUCUGCACUUCUGCACUGUGUAGACCUAGCAGGGCUCUCUGCGUUGGAGAGUAGUUG